UACGGAGGAUCCAAGCGUUAUCCGGAUUUAUUGGGUUUAAAGGGUGCGUAGGCGGCUUAUUAAGUCAGGGGUGAAAGACGGUGGCUCAACCAUCGCAGUGCCUUUGAUACUGAUGAGCUUGAAUACACUUGAGGUAGGCGGAAUGUGACAAGUAGCGGUGAAAUGCAUAGAUAUGUCACAGAACACCAAUUGCGAAGGCAGCUUACUAAGGUGUUAUUGACGCUGAGGCACGAAAGCGUGGGGAUCAAACAGG
rnacentral:rRNA from 1 species